rnacentral:rRNA from 1 species
CUGGGGAGUGGNCGCCAGGCUAAACUCAAAGGAAUUGACGGGGGCCCCGACCAAGCGGUGGAGCNUUUGGUUUAAUUCGAGGCAACGCGAAGAACCUUACCCUGGAUUUGACNUNCNUCUNGCAGCCCUGGAAANAAGGGUUUUUCCGACUUGUCGGAAGAGAGUGACAGGUGCUGCAUGGCUGUCGUCAGCUCGUGUCGUGAGAUGUUGGGUUAAGUCCCGCAACGAGCGCAACCCUUGUCUCUAGUUGCCAGUAUUAAGUUAGGGACUCUAGAGAGACUGCCUCGGUUAACGGGGAGGAAGGUGGGGAUGACGUCAAGUCCUCAUGGCCUUUAUAUCCAGGGCUACACACGUGCUACAAUGGGCUGUACAAAGGGUAGCUAACUCGCGAGAGCACGCCAAUCCCAAAAAGCAGUUCUCAGUUCGGAUUGGAGUCUGCAACUCGACUCCAUGAAGUUGGAAUCGCUAGUAAUCGUGGAUCAGCAUGCCACGGUGAAUACGUUCCCGGGCCUUGCACACACUGCCC